AUGGAAACUGCUGCAAGUUCUCCCUGUGGGCACAUUCCCAGAUUUCCUUGUGAAUGAGCUUUUCUGCUGGAAUUGGACCUAAGUAUGCAGGGCCAGGAGGGCUGUUCCCUUGAACUGCUCCCACCCAGAAGCAAUACUUCUUUAUAGCUGUGGACUGAGGAGGACCCACACAACCUGCUCAGAUAUUGCUGCUUCCAGAAUAUAGCCACAUCCUGUGCAUCAGCAGGGCUAGCAGAAGUUUUUCUUUAGCCAUUUACUUUUUCUUUCCUUCUUUUCUUUGCAGAAAGAGGUAGCUUUGGAAGAAUCUCUCAAUUCCUCAUCCUGAAAGCUUCAGGAUAGCCAACAAGUCCGGGUACAAACUUGGUAUCUACUUUGCUCACACCAGUCCUCCUGAACAUCAGAGUAUCAAGAGCCAGAACUUUGUUUCCUGGCCAUCUCCAGCUGUUAUUGCACCUCCUGGCACAGGAAACAGGGCCAACUUCUCCCCUGGUCACCAGCACUGUUCAGCUAGUGUGCGUGCUGAGGAACCACAGAGCCCUGCAAUGGCCUUCAUGUGAAGUGGUUCAGACUAACAGGUGAUUUUCAGUGAAAGAAAAAAACGCCAAUGAGCUUCAAGGCCCAUCCAAUUGCACAUGGGAAAAACAAAUAGUCAUGACCAACCCAGGAGGCUCAGCCAGCAGCCAGGACCAGUUUCUGUGACUCAGGUAGGUACAGUCCAGCACCGUCAACCUGAUUGAGCUGUAGAUGUCCCUGUUCAUUGCAGGGGAGUUAGUUGGACUAGAUGACCUUUAAAGGUUCCUUCCUACUCAAACGAUUCUAUGACUGUACGAUGGUCUUGCAUCCAGCUGCAUGCUGGGGAUUAACCCAAUGCAUCCCUAU
rnacentral:lncRNA from 1 species